rnacentral:lncRNA from 1 species
GAAGAAGAAAAAUAAGCUCUUAAACUGGACACAAUGGCACAUACAUGUCUGUAAUCCCAGUGACUCAGAAGGAUGAAGCAGGAGGAUUGCAAGUUUAAGGCUAGCCUCAGCAACUUAGUGAGACCUUGUCUCAAAAUAAAAAGGGCUGGGAAUGUAGCUAAGUGGUAGAGUGCCCCUGUGCUCAAUCCCCAGUAUCCACCCGCCAAGAAAAAAAUACCUCUUAAACUUUUCUUUUAUAAAUUGGAAAACUUUAAUCAGUUCCCUGAAAUCUCAGUGGGCUCCUGGUGCACCAUCUGCCUGGCCUCUGUUCUGUGCUGACCCAAAGCAUGGGGGCUGGCUGCCCACCCUCCUCCUGCACACACACACACACACACACACACACACACUCGGAACUCAUUGUUACUAACUUUGAAUGGAAGCUUUUAGCUGCUCUAUUCUUCUUGGGUUCAUUGAAGGCUUGUCAAUGGAAUGGGAAUUACAACCCUGGCAGCUGCUAUCUGUAUCCGUUGUCUGGCUGGCUGGUGUGUUACUGGUUAUAUGUCCCAGAGAAUUAAUCCCCUAAAUGUGGAUGGCGAAUGAUGAAAACCUAGCACAUAAAUAAGGAAGCAAGCAGCUAUCUGCUGACAAACCUCAGGAAGCAAUUGUCUAGUCCCAAUGCAUUAUAUGCAAUGCUCCUAAACUCCAGGGCCCGUCAUCCACAGGACAGAUAGACUUCAUUCAUUCAUUCAUUCAGUGGACAUAUGAGGAACGGAGCACUUAUUCCCUGUCAAUGUUCUGGAUGUUUUAUGUGAGUGAUGUUGUAUAAGACUUGCAAUGGUCCUAUAAUAGAAAAGUUCAGGAAUAUGGAGAUUUAGAGAAAUUUCCCCAAAGUCACAUAGUGGAAACAGGACUUGAAGCUGGAUUCCUCAGGGCUUAGAUUAUUUAGAAUUUCUUUUCUUUUCUUCUUCUUUCCUCUCUUCUCUCUUGCCUGCCUUCCUUCUACACUUAUUUACAACAUUCUCCAUAUGCUAGGCACCAUGGAUGUCCCAGUGAACGAGACAGCAGAUAUAAGCUCUUUCUUGUCCCUCUUCCAUUGAGUCCUGUGACUCCCGGGUAUCACCUCAACCCUCUACAGUUUCUUCUGGAAUGUUCUAAUGCACAAAUGCAAGACAGACCCAAGAGUGAUGACAUUGAAGAUGAAUUAAAUUCAGGCCCUGGGCUCAUGCUUCCUUGGAUACAGACUUCAAAUCUCAUGGCUCAAAAACAUGCCAAACAAAUCUUAACCCACCCCUCCCCUGCUCCCAAACCUCCCACGGCCUGAGGCUCAGCUCAUAUCUCUGUGACAUGAGAAAUGGUCAAGGUCCAAGUGGAGGCUCUCUCUACGAGCUGAAUCACAUGGAAAGGAUGGGGCGAUCAUUUUCACAAGUACCUUUCUGUGCAUAAUGUGAAAUUCAUGGAUGGAUGGCAUCAUCUGGGCAUCCAGCCAGGGGAGGCAUUUCUCCAAACUGAAGGACAAGGUGAGAUGGAAAGACCAGCUCUCCUUGAAGGAUGCCCUCAAGUCACGCACAUACCCUGUUCAUUUGUGAACAGCACCCAGACCUUCCAUUUACCAUUGGUGCACGGGUGUAUAUAGUCAGGUAAGUUUGCACUUAGGUUAUGUGUGUAAACAUGUGCUGUGGGGUAGCAAUGGUUAAUUUUAGUGGACACAUUUAUUUUAAUAGUUUUGUAAAUUAUACCAGGAUUGUAUUUAUAGCAUCAUUAAGGAUCUGAAGGAGUCACUUAAAUGUUUAAGUUAUACUUUGCUGUGGUUUUAUGGGAAAUUUUAUAUGCUAUCAAAGGCAGAAAAGUGAUGGUGCUGGAUCGCACCUCCUUGUUCCCCCGCACCCUUCAUCCCCAAGUAUCUACAUGUUUAAAUGUAGAGCUGUAGACAGGGAGACUUCACCAGGAUGCUUCUAGUUUGUUGUUCUCUCAUUCACAGUUCGGGAGAUCAGAAAUCCAACAUCAAGGGGUUGGCAGGGUUGGUUCCUUGGAUGCUCUGAGAGAUUCCAUUCUGUGCGUCUCUCCUAGUUUCUGUGGCUCAACAACUCUUGGGUGCUCCUUGGCUUAUAGGUGCGUCCCUCCAAUCUCCACUUCUGUCUUCAUGUGGCUCUCCCCCAUGUCUGUGUCUCAAAUCCCUCUCUCUCUUUUCUCUUAUAAGAACACUAGUCAUUGGACUUAGGACCCAUCCUAAAUCCCAGAUGAUCUCCUCUUGAGAUUCUUACCUUAAUCACAUCUACAAAGACUCUGUUUCCAAGCAAGGUCACAUUCACAGACAUCAGGGGGUAGGACUUGGAUAUAUAUUUGGGUGGGGGACAUGAGACCAUUUACUACAGGAAGGAGAACUUAAAUCCUCGAGGAAGGGGGCUAAAACUAACAGGAAGGAUGAGGGGCUGAAUCAGAAUGGUAAGGGUAAGAAAUAAGGGAGGGGCCAGGGGACUGACUCUUAAGUGGUGAUGUUAGUGGAGUGUGUGUGAGCAGAGCUUCCGAAAUGAAAAGCUGAAGCAGACCACUUGUCUCAUGCCAGGAGUCAAGAAUUUGGUACCUACUGGCAUUUGUUGCUCUACCAGAGACAUUGUUAGGAGCAUGGGUGCUGCAGUCACACUGCCUGGUGCAAAUCCAGGCUGUAUGACUUGGGGCAAAUCACUCAAUGCCUAACUUAGGGUAGUAGGUUAGCUUUUUGUUACUGUAACAAAUAUCUUCUGAUAAGCAUCUUAUGAAGAGAAAAGAUUUGUUUGGAUUCACAGUUGUGCAGGAUUCAGUCCAUGGUUGAUUGGCCCUGUUGACUGUGGUGAGGCAGGACAUCAAGGUGGGGAAUGCGUGGUGGAGCAAGCUGCUCACUUCAUGGCAGCCACAGAGACCAGAAAAAGGGGUGCUGAGGUCCCAUAAUCUCUUUCAGGGUAUUCCUCCAAAAUGGCGCACUCAAGUGACUGAUGGCAGGAGGCCUCAGUUCCUCUUACAUGAACAUCUCUGGAGGCUGCUUGUGUGUCCUCAUGACAUGGAAGCUCUGGCAGUGAAUAAUAUGAGAGAGAGAGAGAGAGAGUCUGCAAAGCCCUUUUUUGCCUUGGAAGUCAGACACUGUCAGUUCUGCUGUAUUCUAUCUGUUACCAGCAAGGCACCAAGUGUUCAGGGAUAGGGGAAUGAAGUUUUGCCUCCUGAAAAAGAGUAUCACAUAAUUUGUGGAAAAAAGUUCACCACAAUUAGCUGCUAUUAAUUUUUAUAGCAAGAUCAGAAAAUACUGUGUUGCCCUCCGCUGGAAAUUGGUAUAUGAAAAAUGAAUAACAAGUGGGCGAAUGAACUGCAAAUGAUACAUCAUUCAAAAUUGAAAUAACUGUCUUUCAGAAGGGGAGAAUUUCAGGACCCACCGAAUGACAGCAUACCAUCCAUUUUCACAGUAGCAAACCACUCUGAUCCUCGAAAAGUUGUACCUCUCUGGUUCUGCCACUGGAGUCCAAGAAUCUGCAUUUAAAAGCUCAACACGUUAAUCUGAUGUGUGGCCAGGUUUGGAAAGUUCUGGCAUAGACAAAUGUUUUACCCUUCCUAUCUCUCUCUCUCUCUCUCUCUCUCUCUCUCCUCCCAAUUCUGUUUUGCUUGAUUUUCUAGUUUCCCAGCUUCCGUCACCAAAUAUGGCUCUUUUCAGACUGUACUCCUCGUCUGUUGGGCCUGGGAUCUCCAUGUGGAUUUUCAGCUUUGCUGACUUUCUUGUCUAGCUCCAAGGAAUCUCUCCCUAGCCCCAGGUGGACUUGGCUGGUCUCCACCCACCACCCUACCACCAGGGCUCCACUGUUCCUGAUCGUCUCCCUCCACACAAACACAGCUUCCAUUCUUGGCUAUUGAAUCCAUCCACCAGGUCUCCACCACCAGACCAAGCAGAGGAUGGGAAAAAUCAUUCCCAUACUUCAGACACUCAUUCAAGCAAAAAUGAUUUCCUCCCCUUGAAUGAUCCAGGUAAUUGUUUUCAUUCUUUGCUUUGCUUUGCCUCUGGGGGCCUGACCCAAGAGGUUCUGUGAGUCCCGUUAAAAUUUGGUCCCAGUAAUAAAUAUUUCUUAUCUAAUUGCCUUCUCCUUUGUUCCACAGGAGGUUGUUUUCGGAGGAGAGGAUCUGUAGGUAAACGAGAAGGAGCUUCAAUACUGAGCAACAUGAAGAUAAAAAUGAUGCUACCUCCAGUCCACUUUCUGGAAGGGACCCACUCUGUUUCGCUUCUCCCUGACACAUGCAUCAGCAAGGAGCAAAUUACCAUUUAUUAAACCCUAAUUAUCACUCCUGUUUUUCAAUACUGUUCUCUGUGUAUGUGCCCCUCCCCACCCCCAGGCCUGCACUUCACUGCCACUAAAUUAGCAAUACAUCUUGUUAGCAUAGCAUCCAUAUUUAUAGGCAGUGUUGACUGAUGCUGUAGUGACAUGGUACAAAGUCAAAGGCCUUUAAUAGAAGGUUAGGGACAUGUCCUGAUUCUGGAG